rnacentral:rRNA from 1 species
CCCUAUGGGGUGCAGCAGGCUUUCGAAACUAUUAAGAAAAACUUCAUCGAAGGUAUGGUUGUUAUCGGCGGUAACGGUAGUUUUACCGCUGCGCAUGAGUUUUACAAAAAAUACGGCGUUCCUUGCAUAGGCGUUCCCGCCUCCAUUGACAAUGACAUAAAUGGUAUUGAUGUGACUAUCGGUUCGGAUACGGCUAUUAAUACCGCCCUGGCGGCGCUGGAUAAUAUCCGUGAUACCGCGACUUCCAUGGAGCGGAUCUUUGUCGUAGAAGUAAUGGGGCGCGAAUCCGGCUAUAUUGCGUUACAGGUGGAAUUGGCGGGGGAGC